rnacentral:rRNA from 1 species
CCUACGGGUGGCAGCAGUGAGGAAUAUUGGUCAAUGGACGAGAGUCUGAACCAGCCAAGUAGCGUGAAGGAUGACUGCCCUAUGGGUUGUAAACUUCUUUUAUAAAGGAAUAAAACGAGGCACGUGUGCCUGUUUGCAUGUACUUGAUGAAUAAGGAUCGGCUAACUCCGUGCCAGCAGCCGCGGUAAUACGGAGGAUCCGAGCGUUAUCCGGAUUUAUUGGGGUUAAAGGGAGCGUAGAUGGGUUGUUAAGUCAGUGGUGGAAGUUUGCGGCUCAACCGUAAAAUUGCAAUUGAUACUGGCAGUCUUGAGUACAGUUGAGGUAAGCGGAAUUCGUGGUGUAGCGGUGAAAUGCUUAGAUAUCACGAAGAACCCCGAUUGCGAAGGCAGCUUACUAAACUGUGACUGACAUUGCUGCUCGAAAGUGUGGGUAUCAAACAGGAUUAGAUACCCCUGUAGUC